CUUGUAGGGUGGCUUUGUUUGGGCCAGGAGGUUCCUUUCAUCUCACAGCAGUCCCCUGAGGGGCUCGGCGGAAAGUUCUUGGCUGUCUGUCCACCAGCAGCUGGGGAGUGAGGGCUUCAGUCCUUAAGGGUUCUGAGCAGCACCUCCCACACACAUCCUGGCAGCAGUCUCUGGCCACAGGGCACAUGUGUGCUCACUAGUUCUUGCGCACUCUCCUGCUCCCUCAUCCAGGCCUUCUCCGGCUCCGGGAAUAGACUGGAUGGGAAGAAGAAAGGUGUAGAACCCAGCCCCUCUCCAAUCAAGCCUGGAGACAUUAAAAGAGGAAUUCCCAAUUAUGAAUUUAAACUUGGUAAGAUCACUUUCAUCAGAAAUUCACGUCCACUGGUCAAAAAGGUUGAAGAGGAUGAAGCUGGAGGCAGAUUCGUCGCUUUCUCUGGAGAAGGACAGUCGUUGCGUAAAAAGGGAAGAAAGCCAUAAGUUGGGACUUUUGGCUGAUUGGAAAAUAAAAUAAUCAAUUGCAACAUAAUGGCUUUUAGUUACUGGCUCUGAUGGGGAUGAGACUGUUGCAGUGGAUGCUCUGUCACUUUAGGUUUUGUUUAGAGUUACCUAAGAAUUACCGCGUGUGACCUGUAAGUGGAACAUUCAGACUUGGUGGAUGAUUUUGGGAAGGAGAAACCUUACUCUGAGAUCCUGCAGGCAGCCUCCUCCUUGCCCCUUCUUGCUUUCAGCCCUUGAGGGGUGCUCCCAAUGCCUUAGCCAAAGCAGAGUUCCCUAAUUCCUGAUAAAAAUCAAUGGAAGGGAUUGAAUUGCUCUAACUUGAGGUGUUGUUUCUCUUUUUUUCACUUAUCCUUUGUUUUUCCAGGUCGAUAGCUUAGAGCGUUACCUUUGGCCUAGAAAAAAGUGGCUUAAAUAGAGACAUGCUCUAUAAAUAGUGGUUAUCCCAUUACUCUGGCUGCAAUUUAAGUGUAUGAGGAAGGGUGUUUUUAUUUUACAUAUUGAUAUUUUUUUUCCAAAAGAACCAUUCUUCAGAAGGUGGAUUCCUGAUCUGAAUACACUUCGUCUUGUAAUUUGAUUUCAUAUGGAAAUAACGUGCUCCUUAAUGAAUCGGUUCUACAUGAAACAACUUCAUGAUGAAGCACAAAUAUACCUAUUAGAAUAAAUAAGUGCUAAAGAUAAUUUCUCCUUCCCUACCCCCCACUCCCAGUUAAUGUAUUAAAUUAUCCAAGGUUCUGCUGGCCUACCUUUUUUAUUAGCAUUAAUUUGGUCUCAGAUCACUUUCUAUAAUGUGAGAUCUUUUGACAUGUUAAUCUAAUUUAAUCUCUUUUGUUCCUUGAAAAGAAUUUUACAUCAAGAAUUUCAAAUAAAAACAGGCAAUGAUUAAACCUGGA